rnacentral:lncRNA from 1 species
GACACUGAAACAGAGCAAUAAUUGAUGUAUUCAACAGUCCACCUCUGUAUGAUGAUGUGAAAGUGCAAUUUUUCUCUUUGGCUAAGGAAGCAAGAAAGUGGAGGGGCGGGCAGAGCCAGAUCCAGUGGUUUCACUCAUGCAAGACAGAAGUCACUGUCUAUCCUGUGGCUGGAGGGGCUACUUUGCUCAGAAGACACAGGUCUUCCCCAGAAUCUCACGUGGCUGCUUACUGUUUCCCUGUCUUCUCUCCCCAUUUUGUCCUUUGCUAAGGAAACUGAACUGAAUUCCAGGUCUUCUCUAAUAGAGUGUCUCUCCUUCAACAGGGAACAAAACUACAGUUGCCUGUAGUUUUUGCUUCUGUUCAGUCUCCAUCAUGGCAUGCCAUACUCUCCUGGUUUGUGCCCUGCUUGUUUCUUUACUGCCUUCCUGCCUGCCCUUUCUGUGCUGGAGGCUCAUCCCAUUCAUGCUCAGCCCUCCUCGCUGUCUACACUGUCUUCUUGGGCAAUCGUAUCUAGUCCCAAG